rnacentral:misc_RNA from 1 species
AAGAGCUCCUGUAAAAGUCUCUAACGAUGGUUGCACCAAUGACUUUUUAAUGGUUGGUCUUUCCACAAAGGACAUGCCAGUGACCAAAGCCGAUUCAAUAGAUGUUUUAUGUGAUUAUAUCAUGGCAAUAGAAGACGAUACGACACUAGAGAGAACAUGGGUGCGAAGUUUCAAUCCUUUUAAGAUAGAAAUAUCUGUCAAAGACCUGCAAAACAUAUUAACGACAACUCAAGAUAUGAUUCUAAGAUGUUUUGAUAUGGCUGUUCGGCUGCUUGCCAAUAAAGAGUCACGUAGACCGAAAGAAGAAAUCAUAAAUAAUAGAAAGCAUUAUAUGGACAUGCGUUUUUGGAGAAUGGUUGGUUUUGGUAAACUUCCAAAGUACCAUCAGGAUCCUACAACAGAAGAGUUAGCCAAAACACUCGAUUGUUGGCCAUCAAUGAAUUAUUAUAUCACGGGUUGUAGAUAUGUUCUCAUGCCAUGGAAAUUCAAUGGAUGUCACGCCCUUUUCGUAAUAGAUCAUGUUAAAAAGCAUGUGACUUUUAUCAAUUUUACAC